GGGGGGCAAGCGUUGUUCGGAAUUAUUGGGCGUAAAGAGCUCGUAGGCGGUGUGUCACGUCGGCCGUGAAAACCUGCAGCUUAACUGUGGGCGUGCGGUCGAUACGGGCAUCACUGGAGUUCGGCAGGGGAGACUGGAAUUCCUGGUGUAGCGGUGAAAUGCGCAGAUAUCAGGAGGAACACCGGUGGCGAAGGCGGGUCUCUGGGCCGAUACUGACGCUGAGGAGCGAAAGCGUGGGGAGCAAACAGG
rnacentral:rRNA from 1 species